rnacentral:rRNA from 1 species
UAUCCAAUAGCGGAGGAAAAGAAACCAACAGGGAUUGCCUCAGUAACGGCGAGUGAAGCGGCAAAAGCUCAAAUUUGAAACCCUCGGGAUUGUAAUUUGAAGAUUUGGCAUUGGAGAAAGCUAACCCAAGUUGCUUGGAAUAGUACGUCAUAGAGGGUGACAACCCCGUCUGGCUAACCGUUCUCCAUGUAUUGCCUUAUCAAAGAGUCGAGUUGUUUGGGAAUGCAGCUCAAAGUGGGUGGUAAACUCCAUCUAAAGCUAAAUACUGGUGAGAGACCGAUAGCGAACAAGUACUGUGAAGGAAAGGUGAAAAGAACUUUGAAAAGAGAGUGAAAUAGUAUGUGAAAUUGUUGAUAGGGAAGGAAAUGAGUGGAGAGUGGCCGAGGUUUCAGCCGCCCCUCGUGGGCGGUGUACUGCCGACGCCGAGUCAUCGAUAGCGAGACGAGGGUUACAAAUGGGAGCGCCUUUCGGGCGUUCUCCCCUAACCCUCCACACUGCCACCGACGACAUAAUCCACCCAUUUCACCCGUCUUGAACCACGGA